ensembl:lncRNA
UCAUGAUGCAGGUGGGCUUACCCCCAUCAGUUGUAGCCAGUCUUCCACUUAAAGGAGACUGGGGACAUAGUAGGUACCAGGUGGAAUUCACUUUCCGGCAAAAGUGGUGAUUGGAUGCUACGGGCUUCCCAGGACAGCAAGGGGAGAGUUUCUGGUUUCUGUUGCCCAGUUCUGAGUGAUCUGGAGUUGAUCCUCUGUGGACUGAAUCGCUUGGACUCCCAGGAGGAGGUAUUUUCCUGUCUUGUUUGAGUUGCAUUUCUGGAAGUGACGCCUACCUUCCACAGCACCGGCUGCUAUCCUGGGCCCCUCCUCUGUGGCCCCAGCUUUCCUGGCCUUUCCCCUUCAGCCCUGAAGGACAAGAGAACUGGAAAAUGUAUUCAGAACAGUGUCAGCAUCAGCGAGGCCACGGGUCGGUUUCAGGAAGGGCUGAUCUUUAGCUCCUGUCACCUACUGUGGCCAGUUGGAUUUGCUCUCUGUCCUGCUAACAGAGCACAUGGACACCAAGCAAGGGAUCUGCUGCGGCAGGUGGCCAGAGCCCCAGGCCGUCCUCUAGACUGCUGACAUGUGUGGUUUGAACUCCUUUGCCCAAACACAGACUAAAUGAUAAAAUACAUAUCAGUGUGGGCUACCUGGUAUUUUUCUCUGUCAUCUUUGUAAUCAAGCAUGAUUGAAGAAGCACGAAGUAGCAGGUGGCCCACACAGCGUCACCAGCUGCACAUGCUGGGCCUGUGCUUUCAAAGUCGGCAUUUCUUGAGUUCCACCAUAUACUCAGUAUCUAUAAAACAAAGAUGGAAGACAUGAUCCCCUCCUACAACAGUGAGCGACCCAGGCAACUGAACUGCCUCCUGGAAUUCGGUGGAUGGGAUUCUGACGGGGUGAAUACAAGCAUGUGGAGCACACUGCCUACCUUGGAGUGACAGGUUUUGACUUCCUAGGUCAAGGGUUGCAGCACCUGUUUAAAGGAUACGAUUUAAUAG